CGUAAAUGACGUUGUUGCACAGACAUUAGCUGUGUUCGAAAUCGUUCCCUAUACACUCGUUCCCUAUUCCCUAUAUAGUGUACAUGAUAUAGUGCACUAUAUAGGGAAUAGGGAACGAGAAUUCGGACACUACCCUUAACAUUUCUAAACGUCAUUUGCGUCAGUAAAUGCGCCGGGUAUUUGUGUGACGCAGACGGAUGCGCCCACAUCAAGUAAACAAACCGGGCACUCACGACGAAAGCUGGAGGUUGUAUUGAUGUUGAAUGUUACAUUUCCUUGUUUAAUUAAUUUUGAAUGUUAAAUAUUCUAUGUUAAAUCACAAAUAAAUUGUUGACAUUUCUAAACGAAAGCCGGAGACUCCAUCAUUAAAUGUAUUCGUUUUCGCGGUUAUUCGGCUUCUUCUUCUCCCCUGGAAAAAUACAACCGCAUUGCAUUGUGGUAUACGGGAGUAACAUGUAGGGAACAUCGUAUGUACCCUAUUUUAAGUCCACUAUAUAGUGCCCUAUAUAGUGGACCACUGAGAAUUCGAACACCCUAGAAAAUGGCGUGCACCCUAUUUAGUGCACUACAUCCAUGAUAGGGAACGAUUUCGAACACAGCUAUUGAUGGCGACAACAUGUGUUUGUGAUUUUUCGCGAUACGGUGUCCUAAACCGUCCUCAACAUACUAAGCCCGGGAGAUUUGGAGGUACCUGGUCAGGUCUUGGUCAGCCUUCAAAUCCCAGAUGUGGAGACUGCAGGGAUACCUCACAGAGAAGACACUAAAGAGUCAUCUCUCAUUCAUCGAGUGGACUCAUUGGUUUGCGAAUGACCACAAAGAUGCUCCCAUAGGCAGAUUGCUGCAUGGCAUUCACAUCUUAUUCAAAUUGUAGAGGUUGAAGCAGUCUUCCUUGUGGUCACUUGCCAUAACACUGUCAUGUGUUUUAUGAAAACACCAUCAGUAACAUUUAAAUUGAGUUGAUGUGGAAGGCUCUUUUUUUUGUCCGAUUUCUUCAGUGUUCAGUGCCUGUUUGUGAGAUAUGCAUUGUUUGAAAGAUAAGCCUUUGAUUUUGUUUAAUUUUAAUAUGUAUUUCAUCAACAGUGGUUUGGGGUUUUAUAACAACAAUUAAAGUGCUUAACUACUGGUGAACGAUGUUGCAGAACAUAUAUGGUUUGUGUUGAUUGCAUGGAAAAGGGAAUAACCAGUUACAACUUAUAUGGUAAGAGCCUGGUAAUACCAUGGAAACAAACGAGGCUUCCUUUUACAGUACAGUUUCAGCUUAAUUACUGGGUAAAUUGUCGUGUUUUACUUGGUAACGUCGCAGAACGUACAUGGUACAAAUUUGUGUUGACUGCAUGGAAAAGGGAAUAAUGUAUUACAAAUUAUAUGGUAAGAACCUGGUAAUACCAUGUAAACAAACGAGGCUUCCUUUUACAGUACAGUUUCAGCUUAAUUACUGGGUAAAUUGUCGUGUUUUACUUGGUAACAUCGCAGAAUGUACAAGUUUGUGUUGACUGCAUGGAAAAGGGAAUAAUGUAUUACAAAUUAUAUGGUAAGAACCUGGUAAUACCAUGGAAACAAACGAGGCUUCCUUUUACAGUACAGUUUCAGCUUAAUUACUGGGUAAAUUGGUGUGUUUUACUUGGUAACGUCGCAGAACGUACAUGGUACAAGUUUGUGUUGACUGCAUGGAUAAUGGAAUGUAUCUAUUAU